CCCAGGGCAACCCUGGGAAGGUGAGGCCCUGGGUUCUGUGGUUUGGCCUCUGAGAACCUCCUAGCACCCUAGAACUCCCAGACAGAAUGUUAGGUAAUGCUAACAAGCACAGAUCAAUCAUUUGUACAGGGGAGGCUACUACGGGAGGCCAUGGCUGUCAGGUGCCCUGGGGCAAAGAUAGAAAGCCAAGAAAUAAAACUCCUCUGGACGUCAUUCACUUUGGAUAUGCCCUUGUAAUUCCUGAAGGCCUGAGCUGCAUGGAAAGAGAGAAGGAUGGGGAACAUUCCCACAGCUGGGAAAUUCAGUGCCAUCACCUCAUUGUCACCUGCUAAGGAACCUGCUGGGGCUCCUGAGCCAUAAAGGCCCUACAGGAAAGCACCACCUAUCAGAAUUGGCUUGCAAUCCAGGAUCUGGGAGAAUUUGGAAUUUAAAAAAAAGAAAAAGAAAAAAGAAUUGGCCUGCAAGGUAAACUUCCAUGGUAUGUUUCUCCUAAUGGGGAGGAACCUCGGGGCGCAUGACAGAUGUACUGAUGCUGCAGUAAUCAAGCAAAUGCGAAACUGAAAUGACGGAAGAAUUCCAGGGAUCUAAACAGCAAAGGCCAGCUGUCUGCUACUCAUCCUUCAAGUCCCAACGCAAGCUUGCCUCCUCCAGAAGCCAUUCCUGGCCGGACGUAGUAACUGGUCCCUUCAAAGCGUUCCCACAGCUCCCGACUUACUCAUUCUAUGUCUAACUUAAAUGUCAGUGCUCUGUUCUCCCAUCUGCCUCCUCAUUAGUCUGUAAUCGCUAGA